GAUGAACGCUGGCGGCGUGCCUAAUACGUGCAAGUCGAGCGAACGGACGAGAAGCUUGCUUCUCUGAUGUUAGCGGCGGACGGGUGAGUAACACGUGGAUAACCUACCUAUAAGACUGGGAUAACUUCGGGAAACCGGAGCUAAUACCGGAUAAUAUUUUGAACCGCAUGGUUCAAAAGUGAAAGACGGUCUUGCUGUCACUUAUAGAUGUAUCCGCGCUGCAUUAGCUAGUUGGUAAGGUAACGGCUUACCAAGGCAACGAUGCAUAGCCGACCUGAGAGGAUGAUCGGCCACACUGGAACUGAGACACGGUCCAGACUCCUACGGGAGGCAGAAGUAGGGAAUCUUCAGCAAUGGGCGAAAGCCUGACGGAGCAACGCCGCGUGAGUGAUGAAGGUCUUCGGAUCGUAAAACUCUGUUAUUAGGGAAGAACAUAUGUGUAAGUAACUGUGCACAUCUUGACGGUACCUAAUCAGAAAGCCACGGCUAACUACGUG
rnacentral:rRNA from 1 species